rnacentral:rRNA from 1 species
UGAGGAAUAUUGGGCAAUGCCCGCAAGGGUGACCCAGCAACGCCGCGUGGAGGAUGAAUGUCGUAAGAUUGUAAACUCCUGUUAGAGGGGAAGAAUAGUACCGGUUGGACCGGUAUAUGACUGUACCCUCAGAGAAAGCCCCGGCUAACUACGUGCCAGCAGCCGCGGUAAUACGUAGGGGGCAAGCGUUGUCCGGAUUUACUGGGUGUAAAGGGCGCGCAGGCGGGAUAAAAAGUCAGUGGUGAAAUCCUACAGCUUAACUGUAGAACUGCCUUUGAUACUUUUAUUCUUGAGUUCGGGAGAGAGAGACGGAAUUCCAGGUGUAGUGGUGAAAUACGUAGAUAUCUUGAAGAACACCAGUUGCGAAGGCGGUCUCUUGGUCCGACACUGACGCUGAGGCGCGAAAGCGUGGGGAGCGAACA